rnacentral:lncRNA from 1 species
CAAUCUCAUUGAGGAGUCAUUUUUUUAACGUUUCUCCUUGUGAGUUUACAUUCAGUCCUUGAGUUAUAGCCUAUCAAAGUGGAAUCAGAGCAACAAAUCCAACCCCUAUAGCCAUGACCCUCUCAGAUCGCGUUGUAUCAUUGGAGCAAUAGGUAGCAAGGCAACACUUCAGUCAGGCAUGGAUGCUAUGAGACAGAGUUUUAACAAUUGCAGAAUGAUUUGACGAGCAGAUUUAAAUUGCUAAUGAGAUCAUGGAAGACCCAAAAGCGUGAUCGGAAAGAGAAAGGAGUGGCCAUCACUAAUUCAUCAGGCUCGUUGCUGGUGAUAGAGGAAGUGUAGAUCAGUGUAAAUGAGACCAAAGCUUGGGGAUCAGAUUAGAUAAUAGCUGGAAAUUCGAGUCCCGGAUCAGGCAAUUGGACAUACCGGUAUUUGAUAGGAUCGAUCCAAAUGGCUGGGUUUUUCGGGUUGAGCGCUACUUCACGUUGAAUAAGUUGACAGAGGAAGAAAAAUGGGAUGCAACAGCUGUAUGCUUGGAUGGGGAUUCCCUGGCUUGGUUUCAAUGGGAGGACUGCUAGCGACCCAUGAGAAAUUGAGAGGAAUUGACGGUCAAGCUGCUAUGCCGAUUUCGACAAUCAUAGGAAGGUUCGUUGUGCACCCAAUUUUUGGCUCUCCGGCAGACUUUUACUGUUAAG